CAUCAUGGUGGGCCCACAGAGCUUUGACACCAGCUAACUGGCUGAUGUUGGGGUCACCAGCCAAACCGCGUAAGUGCAUAUUCUAAGGUCGAGGAUCAGAUAGCUCCUGAGGGAGUGAGAGGUUUUGUGAAAUUUCGGUCAUCUCCCACUCUGUGAGAGAGAGAGAGAGAGAGAGAGAUCGAAAAAGAAAAUUUGGGUUGAUAGAUUUGGGAGAGGUGGAGGAUUCCGUCCCAAAUCAUAGCAUAUCGGAUCAAAGGUAGGCUGCCCAUUUCUUCUGAUACAACUGCACACCACCUGUUCGAUGAAAUUCUUCUGUUAAAGCUCUCUCCACCCAUUCCUAUCCCGUAAAACUUUUCAUUUCAGUAUCAGAUAUGGCACAUUCGGUCAUAUGCUACCGCGCUUCUCCAUUUGCCGGAAUUCAAUUCCAGCAGUUUAAACCAUCCGACCGAUUCAAAUCCAGCAAGAAUUCACCCAUUACUGUUAGGAUUAAAUCCAUCACACGAUCGAACAUGACCCCACCCCGCAGGAAGAUACCCAAGAAUCUUCGAUUCCCGCGUCGUGCGAAGCUCCCUGCGGAGCCUCCGAGAGUCAAUAGAUUUAUAAAGAAGAACAUUGAGAGAGACCCGCCUCGAACAGAUUCUAAUUCUGAGGAGAGACGAGAAUCAUCUGGUGGCAGUGAUGAUGAUGUUGAUGAGGAUGGAAAUUUGGUGUGGGGCCCAGAUGAGAUUGAAGCGAUUUCUUCACUUUUCCAAGGAAGAAUUCAUCAGAAACCCGGGAAACUGUCGAGGGAGAGGCCUCUCCCUCUGCCUAUGCCUCACAAAAUCCGGCCAUUGGGGUUACCAACGUUGAAAAAACAUGUACGGUCGGUUUCACCAAAUGCAUUCUCAUCACGAUCGUCACUCUCCAAGCGGGUAUACAAGAACCCAGAUUUCCUAAUAACCCUGGCCAGGGAGAUUGGAAGCCUUCCUCCGGAUGUAAAUGCAUCUGAGGUUCUUGACAGAUGGCUACAGUUCCUCCGAAAAGGGUCGCUUUCAAUAACAGUCCGAGAAUUGGGUCACAUGGGUCUUCCUGAAAGAGCUCUACAGACCUUCUGUUGGGCCCAAAAGCACCCACAAUUCUUCCCAGAUGAUCGGAUCCUUUCUUCCACUGUUGAGAUCUUAGCGAGGACCCGAGGACUGAAAACACCAUUUGAGCCGGGGAAGUUUGUUUCCUCUGCAAGCCGGAGUGUGAUUGAAGCAAUGGCAAGGGGGUUUAUAAGAGCAGGGAGUUUCAAUCUUGCCCGGAAGCUUCUCUUGGCUGCCAAGGACAGUAAUCGGACAUUGGAUCCAAGCAUUCAUGCCAAGCUUAUAUUGGAGGUUGGAAAGGACCCGGAUAAAUACAAACUCACACUGGCCUUAUUGGAUGAGCUUGGAGAGCGGGAAGAUUUGAAUUUGAAACAGCAGGACUGCACUGCUGUUAUGAAAAUCUGCAUAAGGCUUGGGAAAUUCGAAGCCGUUGAGGGUCUAUUUAGAUGGUACAAGGAAUCUGGGAUGGACCCAAGUAUAGUUAUGUAUACGACAAUGAUUUAUAGUAGGUAUUGCGAGAAGAAGUAUAGGGAGGCGUUGGCACUUGUUUGGGAAAUGGAGGAAUCAGAUUACCUUUUGGAUCUCCCUGCUUAUCGGGUAGUGAUAAAGCUGUGUGUUGCUUUGAAUGAUCUUUCGAGGUGUGUAAGGUACUUUUCGAAGCUUAAGGAGGCGGGGUUUUCGCCUACUUAUGAUAUUUACCGUGAUUUAAUAAUGGUUUAUGCCAGUUCUGGUAGAUUGGCAAUGGUCAGGCAGAUGUGCAAGGAAGUAGAAUUGGCAGGAUUCAAGCUGGAUAAAGCGAUGGUGGCACUGUUAUCGCAGAUGCCAGUUGGGUAUGUGUCUUGAUUACUUCUCAAUAGCUCUCAGUUAGUGAUUUAUAUUGCACUGCUUUCACAACAUCCCAGGGUGUUUUGGAGGCUUAAUUAAGAUGAACUGUAUUUACUCAUUCAGUAAACAGGAAAUGCCAACAUUGGGAUCCUAAGUAAAAGGGUGAGUUCAACUUGAAUGACUAACUCCCUCAAUCACCACUACCGUCCUUUUAUGUCCAGCUUGAAACACAUGGAAAUGUAAUUGUGGUUUUGGCAGUCAUUAUGAAUUAUUUGUUCAUUCCUCUUAAUUGAAUUGACUUAUUACAAUUUGUUUCAAUAGAGCAUCCAAAUGCACCCAUUAGGGAUGAGGUGUUUAGGAAGGCCAAGCUGAAUGUUGUUGCUUCGGCCUUGGUGCUCUCAAGUCUUUCAUUUGCAUCCCUCAUGUGUUUUGUGCUUCUUAAUUGGUUUUUGGUUUGUAACGACAUAGGGUGCGGUUUUAAUCUUGCUUUAUUAAUAAACUUGUGUUGCUUUUCAAAAUUAAAAAGAAAAGAAAAGAAAAGAAAGAAAUGCACUGGGUUAAGGAUGCAGUAUUGAAUUGAUAAUUGCAAUGGUUAAUCUAAUAAAUACACCCUCUUGGGAUCCUGGGCGGAGUGCGACAGAUGUGGAAAAAAUCCAAAGGGACUUUCUUUGGGAAAGAGGUGGGAAGCCCACAAAUUUCACCUCCUUAAAUGGAGUCACUUUUAUAAGUCAUUGGUCGUAUUUAAGUGAAGAAAUUGGGCAUUGUUGGCAAAGUGGUGGUGGCGCUUUGGGAAAGAACAAGAAGCACUUUGGAGAAGAGUCUUGCAUCUUAAUUUUGAGAGAUGGAGGGAGGUUGGAUCCCAAAAGUGAAAAUUAGAGGGAGUGACUAUUUCUUUUGGAAAGUUAUCUCAAAGUUUGGGGGAAAAAAAGGGUCAAUCUCUAAAUAAGGGUAUGAAAUGAAAGGUGGGAAAUGGGGGCAAGAAUUGUUUUUGGGAGGAUGUUUGGAUUGAAGAUGCUCUUACUUAAAAAAAUCCCAUCUAUUCUCCCUAGCAUUGAGAAACACUUAUUAGUUAAGAGUUUGGAUCCUUUGUUUGUAACAAAACAGGGAGUAUCUAUUUGUUUCAUUUUAGGUGGUCCAUGUCAUCCUUACUGACGUCAACAAUAUAGUCUUCGAAAAGAAAAAAAGGGGGAGAAAUACAACUAUUAUUAAAAGAAAAACGGAAAAAGAAAGAAAAGAAAAAAAAAAAAAAAAUACACACGGAGGCAGUGUCAUUCCCCUUUCUAGAACCUUUUUCUCUUAUUCUAUUUUGAAAAAAAAAAAAAACAACAACAGGUAGAGAGUGUUGUUCCCUCUGCUAGAACAUAACCCAUCUUCUCCUAUUUUGCUACAAACAGAUGAUCCGGUCUGAAGGUUUCUCAUACCUCUUCUCUACCAACUUCUCUCUUAUCAUUUUUUCAAUUCUCUCUUCACACAUCUUCUCUCAAUUUCUCUGAAUUUUCAAGUUUCCCACCUCUUCUCGUUACAUUACUCGACAAGGUAUGAGCAUCAUCUGAAAUUUUCACGUUUGUAAGUUGAGCUUCGCGCGCAUUGUGAUUUCUUCCCCGGGUUAGGAUUUAUUUAAUGAUUUGCAUUGUUUUAUUGUUAAAUGGUUUCAAGUAAACCCCAUUACACCCUCAACUAAACUCCAUUACACCCUCAAGUAAAUCACAUCACUCAAUCUUGAAAGUCCUUCACAAAAUGAAAUGUAACUAAGUUACAAUCUACAUCAACCAAUUCAUAUUCUUAUGUGCAACCACAACACAUACCCUAUCAUUCCCAAUUACAACCUCAAGUGUAAUGCCAUCACUCUACGUUGAAACCCACGCACGUUCUUAAAUGUAACUGAAUUACACUCUCAACCAACACAUCACGAUCUCAAAAGUUAACACCAUCACACACUCCAUCAUUCCCUACACUACAAAAAAUACUGGUAUUAGGGGCAUUUUUAUCAUAGGCGGCCACAACAAACCGCCACUAUAGAGGGAAAUCAGGGGCGUUUUUAUGUGGCCGCCCGUGUACAAGGAAGCCACCGCCGCUCGUUCUAAAUGAAAAAACCUAAAAUCGAUUUUUUUCGUGCGCCCUCCCCAAAUUGCGCUUUUCUCUCCCGCGCACCUCUUCUCUUCCAAAACCCUUCCCCCCUCUUCUCUCCCGCCUCCUCUCCCAAAACCCUUCUCCCCUCUUCUCUCCUCCCUUCAAUAACCGACCGAAACUCUCUCUCUCUCUCUCUCUCUCCAACGUCUCUCGACCUCCAUUUUCCACUCCGGUCUCGAACAUUCUGCCCAUCUGGUUCUGCUGCUGGCAUGGUCAGUAGGAAUACAUGUGCAGGGUGACCAGUGAUUGCCAUGAGCUCACAGCAUAAACCCAUGUCACCUGGAGAUCGUGUGUCCGUACAACAGCUAAGGAGGAGUGUAUAUGUCUGCAACGAGGGAUGCAAACCCAAACUCAGCAUGCUCUGCAGCACAUCAUGGGCGUCAGAGAACCGGUUGGCCCGGAGGAAUGCACUGAGCAGCAAAUUGCAAGUGGGGACGUUUGGCCGCAGCCCUGCAUCAAGCAUCGACUGAUACCAUCCUCGGGCCUUGUCAACUUCGCCAGCCUUCCCCCACAAGUCCACCAGGAGACCGUACACAUGCUCAUCAGGAACCCAAUCCUCCCGUUUCAUCUCUGCAAACACGGCUUCCGCUUCAUCAAGAUACCCGCAAUGGCCAAGGACCUCCAUAACAAUGCUGCAAGUUACCUUAUCAGGCUGGAAACCUGCAGUUUGCAUGUCCCUGUAUAGCCUCAACACUGAUAUCCCAACUACCUCAAAGUUCAUCUAUUUUGGGCUGGAAAGGGAACGUGCUGCAUUCCUCCUACUGGUGGUUACUAUGGACCAUGCAUGUCGGGCGUCAGAUUUUAUACCGACUGUUGGUAAUCUUCCACCAACGAUCAGUUCGACAAAGAACAGGACUGGAUUGGUUGUUGGGAUAUCAGUUUCUGUUGGAGCAGUGAUCAUAUUAACCAUUUUUGGUGUUUAUAUUUUAAUACGAAGAAGGAAAAGAUUGGCCAAUGACGAAGAUGAAGAUUUUCAAGGAAUGGGCACAAAACCCAACACUUUCAGCUAUGCCCAGCUCAGGGUUGCUACAGAGGACUUCGGUCCUAUCAAUAAACUCGGAGAGGGAGGAUUUGGACCAGUUUACAAGGUAAAUUAGCAACACAAUCAGAUGGUUGAGUUAUAUUGAUUGAGUAAGAAGAACAGCUAAGAAGUUAUGCUAGUUAUUUCCUGGCGAUUUAGGCUUACAUUUGGAUGCACAAAUGAACUGAAUCAUAAUAGUUUAGUAGUUUAAUCAGGAUGUAAUGAUAGAAAUUAAUUAUGAUUCCUAGCAUUUUAUCAGAAAAGUGCUAGGUUGAUUUGCGUGAAGAGAGUCCAAAGAGACAGUUUAUGGCACACAUGGGGACAUAAUACACAUGAGAGAUAUGGGCCAUCAUCUAGUGGGUACUGCCAUGAACAUGCUUGGCCCAAAGAUCAGCCUGGUCCAGUCAUCAGUUUAGCCAUGCUUGUUUGAGAAAACUAAACGGUUAGAAGGAAGAUGACCAGUAAUCUGUAUCACCUAUGCCAUGAAGGCACAAACCGUGUGAUACCCCUCUUCAAUCUCACCUUAUGGAAAUUGCCUCAGCAUUUUUCAUUGUAUAAUAAGGAUUCACCCUCAAAUUGGAGUUAUGUUUCUUUCAACUCCAACAUUAUGUAACGAAAUUGCAAUUUGGAGCCUAGAUCUUCAAUAUGAAUUCUAAGGAGAUUACAAUUGGGCUAUUUUCAAUUCAUUAGACUAAUAAUCGCUAUUUAAUUGGUAGUUCAUCCAAACGCACCCUUAGGGCGUGUAUGGAUACAAGGAAUCCAAGGUGUGGAUUAGGAGAUUAUAAUGAUUAUGUAAUGAUUGUUUCCAUAUUUACUGUAGAAAAUAGGAUUCCAGAAUUAGUGGUAUGUUUGGAUGCAAGUGGAAAUCUAAGUUUUAUUUGACAAAAGUCACCUCGUAUAUUGUGCUAGGGUGGACAAGUCUAAUGAUUAUACUUUUGGAAUCCUGAGUCUUCUUGCUAUCUAAACAGCCCUAGCCAUCUUUUCAAUGGAAGAAAAUCCCCCUUCCCUUGGAUUCCUGCUAUCAAUACACGCCCUUAGAUUUGUUUAGCAGUGUGGGAUUGAGCAAAUAUGUGUGCAUUUAUCAAUACAUGAAGGCAUGUCUACUUACAUACAUGCACAUGUGAUUGAGCAAAUAUGUGAUUAUUGACCAAUACAAGGUUCCAAAUGGGCUCUUGCAAUGCUUGGCUUGAAUGAUUGCUGUUUUAGUUUUGGCUUGAAUGUCUGGAUAUUUUGGCUAUAGCUUCCUACUUGGACUCGACUUUUACAAUGCUUAGCUUGAACUAUUGAUGUUUUAGUUUGGGUGAGCAUGCUUUGGCCUUAACUUCCUACUUGAAUAUAGAACUUGGGAUUCUUGGGCCGUAAGCUCUUUUAAUGCUCUAAAACAGGGUGAUUUUAACACCCACAUUUCUUCAAAAGGUCCCAUGACAGUCUUCAAAAGUUGUGACUUGAAAGUCAUAGGUUUGGUUGAUUGGACCAAUCGAUUAAUAGAUUCCUACCUGGGAGGUUGUAAUUGGGCAAGGCUUGCUCUGUUAGAAAGGUUUUCCUACAAUGUAUAUUCCAUGUAAUGGUGAAAGUUUCAUCUGCAAGAUCUUUGUAGUCUCCUAAUCCAAUUUUUAGGAAAGUAGAUGCCUUCCUUGCUCAUUUGCUCAUAGAUGUGCUCUUGUGAUUUGAUUUUGUUCUCUAUCUCGAGGUUUGGUUACUAAUCUGGUCAACCUCACUCCAACUCAAAACAAAAUCAUAGUGAAACACAAUUAAACUUCUUUGAUACCAUUUUACAUGUCAGAAAUAUCAAAGCACAAGAACAUUUUAUAUUAAAAGAACUUGAGAACUCUACAAAAGGUUAGAGCUCUGAGGUGCACAAACCGCUACAACAUGGCUGGCUUAUACAACUUAGGCCCCCUAAAAUCAACGAGUGUCUUCGGCUAUUCUCUAUGAAUCCAGUGGGGAUUAAACAGCAAUGUAAAAAAUAAACACAUACUAGGCAAAUUUAGGAAUAUGUUAUGUUUGUGUUCUCAAUGAGCUUUUUUUUUUCCGGUUUUUUUUUUUAGUUUUUUUGCUGUUUCCUGUUGCUUUUCCCUUUGUUUUUUGGUAUGGAGUUUCAGUUUGCUAUCUCAGCGGUCUGUUUCUCUCUUUUCUGUUUUUCUUUAAUGAAGCUUCUGUUUCUCAGAGUGUGAUGGAUGGAUUGGGUCUUGCUCCAAUGUGGCACAUUGGUGUGUAGUACCCACCUGUUGGAAGCUGACUCCAUUGAAUGGGUGGUUAUUAUUUUCCAAUAAAAGUGAUCUUUUUUA